rnacentral:rRNA from 1 species
UACAUAAAAUGCGAGCGUUAAUCGGAAUUACUGGGCGUAAAGCGUGCGCAGGCGGUUUUAUAAGACAGAUGUGAAAUCCCCGGGCUCAACCUGGGAAUGGCAUUUGUGACUGUAAGACUAGAGUACGGUAGAGGGGGAUGGAAUUCCGCGUGUAGCAGUGAAAUGCGUAGAUAUGCGGAGGAACACCGAUGGCGAAGGCAAUCCCCUGGACCUGUACUGACGCUCAUGCACGAAAACGUGGGGAGCAAACAGG